AGUCGAACGGUAAGGCCCCUUCGGGGGUACACGAGUGGCGAACGGGUGAGUAACACGUGAGUAACCUGCCCUUGACUCUGGGAUAACAGCUGGAAACAGGUGCUAAUACCGGAUACGAACCUCCUCGGCAUCGAGGAGGUUGGAAAGCUCCGGCGGUCAAGGAUGGACUCGCGGCCUAUCAGCUUGUUGGUGAGGUAACGGCUCACCAAGGCUCCGACGGGUAGCCGGCCUGAGAGGGCGACCGGCCACAUUGGGACUGAGAUACGGCCCAAACUCCUACGGGAGGCAGCAGUGGGGAAUAUUGCACAAUGGGCGAAAGCCUGAUGCAGCAACGCCGCGUGCGGGAUGACGGCCUUCGGGUUGUAAACCGCUUUCAGCAGGGACGAAGCGAAAGUGACGGUACCUGCAGAAGAAGCACCGGCUAACUACGUGCCAGCAGCCGCGGUGAUACGUAGGGUGCGAGCGUUGUCCGGAUUUAUUGGGCGUAAAGAGCUUGUAGGCGGUUUGUCGCGUCGGGAGUGAAAACUCAGGGCUUAACCCUGAGCCUGCUUCCGAUACGGGCAGACUUGAGGAAGGUAGGGGAGAUUGGAAUUCCUGGUGAAGCGGUGGAAUGCGUAGAUAUCAGGAGGAACACCAGUGGCGAAGGCGGAUCUCUGGACCUUUCCUGACGCUGAGAAGCGAAAGCGUGGGGAGCAAACAGGCUUAGAUACCCUGGUAGUCCACGCCGUAAACGGUGGGUACUAGGUGUGGGGAACAUUCCACGUUCUCCGUGCCGCAGCUAACGCAUUAAGUACCCCGCCUGGGGAGUACGGCCGCAAGGCUAAAACUCAAAGGAAUUGACGGGGCCCCGCACAAGCGGCGGAGCAUGCGGAUUAAUUCGAUGCAACGCGAAGAACCUUACCUGGGUUUGACAUAUGCCGGAAACACCUAGAGAUAGGUGCCCCUUUAUGGUCGGUAUACAGGUGGUGCAUGGCUGUCGUCAGCUCGUGUCGUGAGAUGUUGGGUUAAGUCCCGCAACGAGCGCAACCCUCGUCCUAUGUUGCCAGCGGAUAACGCCGGGGACUCAUAGGARACCGCCGGGGUCAACUCGG
rnacentral:rRNA from 1 species